rnacentral:rRNA from 1 species
GACAGAGGGUGCAAACGUUGUUCGGAAUUACUGGGCGUAAAGCGCGUGUAGGCGGUUAUGCAAGUCGGGUGUGAAAGCCCGGAGCUCAACUCCGGAAGUGCAUUCGAUACUGCGUAGCUAGAGUACUGGAGAGGAUGGUGGAACUCUCGGUGUAGAGGUGAAAUUCGUAGAUAUCGAGAAGAACACCGGUGGCGAAGGCGGCCAUCUGGACAGAUACUGACGCUGAGACGCGAAAGCGUGGGGAGCAAACAGG